rnacentral:rRNA from 1 species
ACGAACGCUGGCGGCGUGCCUAACACAUGCAAGUCGAGCGGAGACAGUGAGUAGCUUGCUACGAGCUGUUUUAGCGGCGGACGGGUGAGUAACGCGUGAGCAACCUUUCCCAGACAGGGGAAUAACACACCGAAAGGUGUACUAAUACCGCAUAAGACCACGGGAUCACAUGGUUCUGGGGUAAAAGAAUUAUCGGUUUGGGGUGGGCUCGCGUCCGAUUAGGUAGUUGGUGAGGUAACGGCCCACCAAGCCGACGAUCGGUAGCCGACCUGAGAGGGUGAUCGGCCACAUUGGGACUGAGACACGGCCCAAACUCCUACGGGAGGCAGCAGUGGGGAAUAUUGGGCAAUGGGGGGAACCCUGACCCAGCAACGCCGCGUGGAGGAAGAAGGUUUUCGGAUCGUAAACUCCUGUCCUUGGAGACGAGUAGAAGACGGUAUCCAAGGAGGAAGCCCCGGCUAACUACGUGCCAGCAGCCGCGGUAAUACGUAGGGGGCAAGCGUUGUCCGGAAUAAUUGGGCGUAAAGGGCGCGUAGGCGGCUCGGUAAGUCUGGAGUGAAAGUCCUGCUUUUAAGGUGGGAAUUGCUUUGGAUACUGUCGGGCUUGAGUGCAGGAGAGGUUAGUGGAAUUCCCAGUGUAGCGGUGAAAUGCGUAGAGAUUGGGAGGAACACCAGUGGCGAAGGCGACUAACUGGACUGUAACUGACGCUGAGGCGCGAAAGUGUGGGGAGCAAACAGGAUUAGAUACCCUGGUAGUCCACACUGUAAACGAUGAAUGCUAGGUGUAGGGGGUAUCGACCCCUUCUGUGCCGCAGUCAACACAAUAAGCAUUCCGCCUGGGGAGUACGGCCGCAAGGUUGAAACUCAAAGGAAUUGACGGGGGCCCGCACAAGCAGCGGAGCAUGUGGUUUAAUUCGACGCAACGCGAAGAACCUUACCAGGUCUUGACAUCCCGAUGAAAAACCCGUAACGGGGUUCGCUCUUCGGAGCAUCGGAGACAGGUGGUGCAUGGUUGUCGUCAGCUCGUGUCGUGAGAUGUUGGGUUAAGUCCCGCAACGAGCGCAACCCUUAUCUUCAGUUACUAACGCGUGACGGUGAGGACUCUGAAGAGACUGCCGGGGACAACUCGGAGGAAGGUGGGGACGACGUCAAAUCAUCAUGCCCCUUAUGACCUGGGCUACACACGUGCUACAAUGGCCACGACAGAGAGAAGCGAAAUCGUAAGGUAGAGCGGAACUCAAAAAAGUGGUCCCAGUUCGGAUUGUGGGCUGCAACCCGCCCACAUGAAGUCGGAGUUGCUAGUAAUCGCGGAUCAGCAUGCCGCGGUGAAUACGUUCCCGGGCCUUGUACACACCGCCCGUCACACCAUGGGAGUUGGGAGUGCCCAAAGCCGGUGAGGCAACCGCAAGGAGCCAGCCGUCUAAGGCAAGACCAAUGACUGGGGUG